rnacentral:snRNA from 1 species
AUCUCUGAAACGUGACUACGGUCACAUUCAAGAUUAUUCUUAUUUUGUAAUCAGUGGACGGCUCCCUGGGCUUGCUCAUAGCCGUCCUCACAGUGUCGUCCGUAUCGCACUACCUCGGACUGACGCGAAUUUUUU